ACAAUAUAUUAUAUUUGACUCCCAAUUAACUUCUUUACAUUUUCUUCUUUUUCUUAGUUUCCACUCCACUGAGUACAAAACAAAAACAAAAACACCAAAACGAUGAGACUUCACGUCAAGUCCGGCGACGAUUCCUGCCAGAACGAGUUUCUUUAUGAGUGUCACAGCGACUCAUUGAUCGAAGAAAUUGCUUCGGAAGUCAUUCAAAUUUUCAAUCUUCAAUCUAAAAUCCAUCGGCUUAUUUCUGAAUUCGAACCCCGUCUACUUCCCUUUAGUGGCGAUCCCAAAGCUACGCCUCUUUUGAGAGCUUUUUCAGAAGCAAAGUCCUACGCAUCUAAGGACAUGAUUAUUCACAAUAGGCCUUUAUCAUUUCUUGUGUUGAGACACCAUUUUGAGACUAUCGAAAGAGAAUUGGUAGCAAAUUUUGAUACUUUGGGUGUCUAUGAUUCCACUCAGUAUCAACAACUUUUAUCAGGUGACUAGAAACGAGAUUGUCUAUUAUAUCACCAUUCAGAUGUCAGGCUUCUUGACAAGGAAACGACUCAGCUAAAACUAGCAGGAAAGGAGCUCAUGAAGGAGAAACAACUCUGUGAUUAUAUUGGAAGAAAUGAGAAAACUAAGAUCGUUCUUAAACUACAACCAAAAACCACACCCCCAUGUUGAAUACUGAUGCGAUAUGUCAACUACGAGUGCAACGUUCUUGAAGAAUCUGCUCUAGUUCAAAUUCCUGCUAUUAUGUGAAAAUUUUGAGAUUUGAUACUAAUGGGAUGUGGAAAUGUGAACAAGUUUUUGGAUGUGAGAAAGUAGAUAAGAUCUCAAUAUUUUAGUUUGAUAUAUGAUAUUUUGAAUAUCGUAAUCUUGUAUCAUCAAUGUGUUAUCCUUGUAUCAUCAAUGUGUUAUCUAUUGGCUUGAGUUUCAGAA